AAUUGAACUUUCUGAAGCAAAGAUUUUUGCUUAUCUUAUCUGAAUCUUCGUCGCUAAUCUGAUAUAAAUUUGAAGAUAUGAUCAAAGCCACCAUGGAUCUUGGUUGCCUGGAUUUGGGAUGUCUUUCUGACAAGAAAAGCGGCGUCGGAGUUUCCAAUCUAAUGGAUUUUGUUUUCCCGUCUGAUGUCUUCCAGUGACAUUGAAUUGAGUUUCUUCCUGUUCACUAGAAAAAUUAGGGUUGGUAAUUUAGGCUCUCGUAUAGGGGAAUUGAAAAUGGCAGUUCCGGAAUAGUGAAGCUGUUGUUUGGUGUUGUUUAGGAGGUUGUGAGAUAGGAAGAUGAUUAAGCUUUGAUUGAUUUAGUUGUUUACAUGAUCUGCUUUUGUCGCAAUGCCAUCGUAUUAGUUGGAAAAUCUAGCUAACCACCUGGCUAAAUUAG